AGCUUAUGAAGAGCGUGGUUUUGAAGUUACCAAGGAAAUUAUAUUUAUAGAUAU
rnacentral:tRNA from 1 species